ensembl:misc_RNA
UUGACAGCGUUGGUGACAGAAGUCCUCUACUUGUCCUCAGAAAAGGUACAGCACAGACAAUGGCAGUGCAGAUUUCCUGCACACACACCACUAUCUGCCUAUGUACCUCAGCCCUGUUCUGGAGGAACCACGUCUAGAGGUGAAGAGCAGUUCAGUUUCCCCAUAGCCCACUCAGUCCUUGGUCUCU